UAAAACUCAUUCCAGUACCAGCAGAAUGGGAACUAGACCUUCAGGAACUGAUGAACCAGAAGUGACGUCACUUGGAUGGAGUGAGAGCCAGGCCAGUGAGGACUCAUCAUACUUGGGACACUCUUUUAAAAACUAUGGUUUCAUAUCGUCCAGUGAAAUAACAUCCCAUAUUCACAGUCUUAGAGAAUACCUACCUAAAGGUAUUACACUGAAUUACUGAUCCUAGGAGGAAGGGACAGAGUUUGACUGUUUCUUACACAUAAUGAUGAGAAAAGAAUCCUGGGACCACGCCUCCACUGAGACUGUAAUCCAGUGAUCGUUAGUAACCGGUAACGUAAUGUUCCAUUAGGCCAAUCCAUUUCAAUCAUUGGUAGUUAAAAGGGGAGGAGUCACCACACCCUCAAGAUGAAACUCCACGUCCACACAAAUGAAGUUGAGUAGCGUUAGUAUCAGUUUAAUAAUGAUGAUAUUCUUUGAGAAAAAUAUAAAACUGAUAAUUAGGCAAAUAGGUGCUAUCAUACAAAAUUCUAUUAGAUAUUUAAUCCAAAAUUAUUUUCAAAAACAAUUAAGAGACACUGGUAAUUUAUUAUACAUUUUCUGGCAGAGCUAACGACUAAGAACAGCUGGUUGACCUCCAUAGAACAAGAUGCUCUUGAGUUUUCAAAAAUGUUAGAGAUAUACUAUUCUACCUACAGCUAUGAGACUGCAAAGAUGAUUUAUAAUAGUUCCAGUGAUCAUUUGUACCAUUCACCAAUGACCAGCACAGGGAAUGUACUGGACAUGUACCUGGAGACAUUUGG